rnacentral:rRNA from 1 species
CCUACGGGAGGCAGCAGUGAGGAAUAUUGGUCAAUGGACGAGAGUCUGAACCAGCCAAGUAGCGUGAAGGAUGACUGCCCUAUGGGUUGUAAACUUCUUUUAUAUGGGAAUAAAAUGUUCCACGUGUGGGAUUUUGUAUGUACCAUCUGAAUAAGGAUCGGCUAACUCCGUGCCAGCAGCCGCGGUAAUACGGAGGAUCCGAGCGUUAUCCGGAUUUAUUGGGUUUAAAGGGAGCGUAGGUGGAUUGUUAAGUCAGUUGUGAAAGGUUGCGGCUCAACCGUAAAAUUGCAGUUGAAACUGGCAGUCUUGAGUACAGUAGAGGUGGGCGGAAUUCGUGGUGUAGCGGUGAAAUGCUUAGAUAUCACGAAGAACUCCGAUUGCGAAGGCAGCUCACUGGACUGCAACUGACACUGAGGCUCGAAAGUGUGGGUAUCAAACAGGAUUAGAUACCCCAGUAGUC